GAUGAACGCUGGCGGCGUGCCUAAUACAUGCAAGUCGAGCGAACAGAUGAGGAGCUUGCUCCUCUGACGUUAGCGGCGGACGGGUGAGUAACACGUGGAUAACCUACCUAUAAGACUGGGAUAACUUCGGGAAACCGGAGCUAAUACCGGAUAAUAUAUUGAACCGCAUGGUUCAAUAGUGAAAGACGGUUUUGCUGUCACUUAUAGAUGGAUCCGCGCCGCAUUAGCUAGUUGGUAAGGUAACGGCUUACCAAGGCAACGAGGCGUAGCCGACCUGAGAGGGUGAUAGGCCACACUGGAACUGAGACACGGUCCAGACUACUACGGGAGGCAGCAGUAGGGAAUCUUCCGCAAUGGGCGAAAGCCUGACGGAGCAACGCCGCGUGAGUGAUGAAGGUCUUCGGAUCGUAAAACUCUGUUAUUAGGGAAGAACAAAUGUGUAAGUAACUAUGCACGUCUUGACGGUACCUAAUCAGAAAGCCACGGCUAACUACGUG
rnacentral:rRNA from 1 species